CUGCAGCAUUAGAAAGAUGUAGCUUGCCCAAGGUAACAUGGGUCAAUGAAGGUCAAAGGCAACCUAAAUUUUCCUGAGUCCAGAGCCAGCCAUCUACCCAUUAGAGUUUUGGAAAAGGCUCCAUUCCUCCGGAGUCCAGGCACUCAACAAAUUUCUGGACCCCUCAGUUCUCAGCAGGCCAUCUCUCCUGCACCAACCACUCACUUCUCUUUUCCCCAACUUCACCCUCUGAUGAACCAAUUUCUUGAAUCUCUAACCCCCUUAUAGUAUCAUCAGUUACUCCGGCUCAAGCCUCAACUUUGGGUCUCUCCCACUAUUUGUCACCUUUCCUCCUACAUGACACUAUAUGCCAACAAAAAUGGAAAAAAUGGCACAACCAUUCAGACUGGUUCUACUACAGAUUUAUGGGACAUAGCCUCUCUUGGGCCCUGCUGCUGCCCAGCAAUCUUACUCCUCCUCCCUCAUUGACUCUCCCACUCUCCACAGUCACUCUUCCAAAGCUCAUCUCUCCUCAACCUCUCAUGGCUUCCCCUUCCCCCAGCCUCUUCACUGAGACUCUUGGCUCAUAUUUUACCAAAAAACUUGGGGCCAUUUGCCACGAGCUCCCUCUUCUCCCCUCCCCUCACUUGGAGGCCUCCCACUGCUCUCUCCUCCAUUGCUUCAGUCUCCCUGAUGAAGUAACCUCACUCCUUACCCAGUGAUCCCAUUCCUCUCCUCCAACAUUGCCCUCUGUCACCCCCAUCUUUCACUCCUUUUCAAUCUCUCCCUAUCCCUGUCAACUAUCACCAGUAUCUCUUCUGCCCUUCCUCUCUCAAAGUCUAGAAAAGACCAACACAGCAGGUGUCUCCACUUCCUCUCCUCCCACCUUCUUCUUCACCCCUUCUAACGGGCUUCCACGGACCCUGCUCUCUCCACAUUUACCAGCGAGUUCUUAGUUGCCAAAUCCAGUGGCCUUUUCUCAGUCCCCACUCUCCUUGACCCCUCUAUGGACCUUUGACCCAGUGGAUCACACUCUUCUUGAGAUUCAGGAUGGAGAGAGCCAUCUGCAUCCAGAGAGAGCACUGCGGGGAUUGAGGGCGGAUCACGACAUAGUGUUUUCACUUUUGUUGUUGUUUGUAUUUUAUUGUUUUUCUCAUUUUGAUCUGAUUUUUCUUGUGCAUCAUGAUAAUUGUGGAAAUGUGUAUAGAAGAAUUACACCUGUUUAACAUAUAUUGGAUUACUUGACAUCUGGGAGAAGGGGGCAAGGGGAAGGGAGGGAGAAAAAAUUUUGUAACAAGGUUUCCCGAGGGUGAAUGUUGAAAAUUCUCUAGGCGUAUGUUUUGAAAAUAAAAAACUAAGGAAAAAGAGAAAAGAAAAAGCUUUAUAAAAAAUAUUUGUUUUUUAAAAAGAAAUUCUCUUCUCUUUAGGUUUCUGAAACACAAUUCUCUCCUGAUUCUUCUUCUUUCUCUUCUCUGCUGGAUUCUCCUCCUGACACCAUCUUCUGACUCUGGGAUCCCUCAAGGCUGUCCAGGCCCCCUCUUUUCUUCCUCCCUCCCAUUUCACUUGAUCUCAUUAGUUUCCACGGAUUUAAUUACCAUCUCUAUUCUGAUACUUCUCAAAUCUGCCUAUCUUGCCCCAUCUCUCAGCUGACCUCCCACAUCCAGCUGCCUCAGAUAUCUCAAACUAAAUAUUCAGUAGAUAUCUUUGACUCAAUACUUCCCAACCUGCCCACCUCCUACUUUCCCAAUUUCUGUAGCGAAGACCCCCCUCCUCCCCAUCCCCCAGACUCACAACCCAGGAGCGAUCCGGGACUUCUCCCUGGCUCCCCCUUAUCCAUUUAAGCUAUGGUCAGUUUUACCUCUACAACAUCUCUCAAAUACACCCCUUUCUCUCCUCUGACCUCGUCCCAAUCCAUCUUACAGGCUCCCAUGACUUCUUCCCUAGAUUAUGCAAUAGCAGGAUAUGCAAUCCUGCCUAGAUCUGCCUGCCUCGGGUCUCUCCCCCCACCCCACUCCAUCAUCCAUUCAGUCACCAAAUGAUUUCCUUAAAGCCCAGGUCCAAUCAGAGCAGCCCCCCCCCCCCCCCCCCGCGGUCCCCCACCUAGGCUCCUGACCUCCUCCAGAAGCACAUACCGAGUCUUCCCUUGGGCCUUCCAAGCCCUUCCUAACCCAGUCUCCUACCUUUCCAGCCUUCUGACCCCUCAUCUCCCUCCAAUCCUCCUGUGAUCCAGUGUCACUGACCUACUACUUUAGGAACAAGAUUCCCCAUCUCUUGUGGGUGGGCAUUUAAUCCAGCUGCCCCACCUGCCCAGAACUCUCCCCUUCCCCUCUGACUUCUGAUCUCCCUGGCUUCCUUUUAAGCCACCUUCCCCAAGCAGCCUUCCCCCACUCCUCCUCAUUCCCCAGUCUUCCACUUACCAAGGGUCUCUUAUUUAUCCUGUCCAUGGCUUACUUCGGCCAUAUUUGCACAUUGCCGCCUCCGUUAGAUUGUAAGCUCAAGAGCAGGGAUGGCUUUUGCCUCUUUCUGUAUCCCCAGAGCUUAGCACAGAGCCUGGGACAUAGCAGACCCCUGAUAAAUGAUUACUGAUUGGUUGAUUGAUUGAUUUCACCUGAAUUCUCUUCAGGCCCAAUACAAAUGGUUUAACCUCCUCCUGUUCCCAAACUCAACACUCACAGCCGGCUUCCGGAUCGGCUUCCGGAUCUGCUUCCCAUGACCUGAACUCAUGUCCUCCCCAAUUCUCUAGCUCCCCUGCAGCUCCAGCUCAAGUGCCACCUCCUUCAAGGCUCUUUAGGCUUCAUCCUUCUUCAGACUGUCUUCUGUUUACUUAAGUGUAACUAUCACUCCCCCCCCCCCCCCUAACAAAAGGCAGAUGUCUUGAGAGAAAAGGUAGGGAGCGCUCCCUCCAGCUGCCCGUCCCGUAUUUUGCACACCACAGAGCCCAGUUUAUUAAACUGAACUAUUGUUGGGAGACCUGGGUACCCUUUCAACUGAGAAAGGAAGGUGAGCCCCCAUCCCUCCAUCUAGGACAGAAAGAAGGUAGAGUAUGAGAGGCAAGUUUUCUCCUUUAUUGACCUUCAUUAUUGACAGCUGGUCCCAGACAAUUAAGGCAGGGAGCUUGCUGGGGAAAGGGUCAGGAUCUAGGAGAGGAGUCAAGACCCAGGGGAGUGGGGAAGGCCGGGUCAAUAGGGAAGCAUCAACCCCAAUCUUCAGCCCCAGCCCUUUAUUGAUCCCAGUCCAGGAGCCAGAGGACAGUCAAACCAAAGGGCAAGAAACGGAAGCCUCCCCAGCAAGACCUUCCUGCACAUGGGUGAGGGGGGGGCAACAUGCAUAAUGUCCAGGGCUCAAGAACCCCGGCUCAUCCCGCCAGCCCAGGCAGCAACCAGGAUGGAUGGUAAGCGGGCUGAGGCCGAGUCUUCCCAAGGGUCUCGGGCCCUCCAUGGUGGCCUGGAAGCUGAGCCAGAACAGGCUGGUGUUGACCUGCUCUUUCUCCUGCACCAACUUCUUGAGCUGGGCCACGGUCUGACUCAGCAGAAUGCGGUAGGGGCUGCGGCCCCAAGGCCCUAGCCAUGGGCUGGUCCAGCUCCAGCACCAGCAGCAGCAGAUUGCCAGGCCUCAGCUUGUGCUCCG
rnacentral:lncRNA from 1 species